ensembl:lncRNA
CCCGGCCCCAGCCAGCAGCGCUGGGCCCGCGCACCUCCCUCCGCGGGCGGCCGGCGAGGCCCCCGCCUCGUAAUUAGCGGCGCUUAGUUCACAAAACCCUUCCUGGGAGAAAAUCUGUUCCCUCGUUCCGGGGCUCGGUUCAGCACCUGAUUCAGCCGGGGUCUUGGUAUGUAGCCCAGGCUGGCCUAGAACUUGUGGCGAUCCUCCUGCCUCAGCCUCUCAAGUGCUCAGAUUACAGGCCUGUGCCACCAAGCCUGGUUCCUUGGACCCCUAAGUCUGAGCACUCAGAGCUGGCUGCUGUGACCAGGCCAGAAGACUGAGGCUACAGGCUACCCAGCCCUGCCUCACCCACCCCCAGAGCUGUUCUUUGUGUGGAGAGAGUGAUUUUUGCACCAGGCCUGUCCCUCUCUGAGGUGCCCUCAGAGUCAUUCCAGGAGCCUCCUGAGCUGCCCAGGCCGGCCGGGCCGCACCAUGGGCAGGAGGCGGCGGAGGGGGGCAUGUGCAGGUGCGGAAUGAGAAUUAAAAUCGCCCUCAACGAUCCAGUACACUUUUUAUCAGCCAUCUAUCUGAGAGCCGGGCCCAUUCAUCAUCCGAGGCAGUCUCCCUGAAAACAAGACCCAUUCAGAUUUUGUACAAAUUAUCAUAUUUAUCAUCGUCUCCAACUCCGGAGUAACAUCUCGGCCAAGUGUCUGCCGCCUCUGUCUCCGGGGAGCCGCGCCGAGCGCCUUUGCCCACCCGCGACUCCCCGCCCGCCGCCUCCUCCCGCGCCCUCCUGGACUUCCAGCGACCCCACCGUGCAGCCCCAGCCCCGGGACAGCUUCUGCCCCGGAUGAGGAGUUUCCCGCAACCAGCGGGGUCCCAGCUCGGUCCACCUCCUCCUGGAAGCGCGCUGCUCGCUGUGCACGGCCCCAGGAUCAGGGAGGCUUCCCCAGGUCAGCCGACAAACUCUGCACCCGGCCGCUGCAGGGAGAGGCCCACAGGGUCGCAGGAGGGGGGCGUGGCCCCGGCUCCCGGCAAGCAGCGGGUCUCCACCUUUCACUGAGGUCCUCCAGCCUAGUCAGGCAAAAGGCUGCAGCCACAGCUUCUGCGGAGGAUUCUGUCGCUGUGUUGCUGUGGGCCUUUGAUCGGCUUAAUUCCUUCAUUCAUCCCUCGGUUGUUAAUUCAAAAACACUGCCGAGCACCUCUCUGGGUCAGCUCUGGGCUUGGCAUGGGAAUUCCCGUGGGGCCAGCACAGCAGCCUUUUGCCCCUGGAGGGUGCAGUCCAUACAGCAGAACUUCCUGGGGUGGUGCAGGUGCCCUAUCCCUGCAUUGCUCCUCGUGCUGAUACGAGCCAUAGGUGGCCCCUGAGCACUUGAAAAGAGUCAAGUGUGGGUGGCGAACUGAUGUUUCAUUUUAAUUAAGUUGGUUUAUUUAGCAUAGUUGUGGCCAGUGGCUACUGUGCUGGUCAGCACAGCUCUGGCGGGUGGGUUCGUGUUCAUUUUGCUGAGCAAGGCAGGAUACACGUGAAGGAACCCCAUCCUUCCCGGGCUGUGGAAGGCCUGUGGUGGGGGCUCCCUUCUCCCUGUUCCAGUCACCAGUCUCUGAGCAGUAUGAGAAUGCAACUCGGGCUGGGGAUUUAGCUCAGUGGUUCUGCCGCCUGCCUCACCUGCCUUGCCAGCACAAGUUCAAGUCCCUAGUUCAAUCCCCACUACCCCCCCGCAAAAGAAAGCAACUCAACCGGGACAAAUAACAUGAGACCCCAAGUCCCUAAAGCAGGCUGUUGUGCAAUAGAAGCAUUCACUGAAUACAUAUUUUGGUACCAGACACCAUUUGCAAGUGCGCUAUUAUAAGUCUUACCAGGGGCCCAGAUACCUGUGGGGUGAGAACAGUGGGGACGGAAACAAGGAAAGGGUUCUGGAACAACUGAACGCCUUUCCUUUCUUUACCUGUGCUGGGGACUGAGCCCAGGGCCUCGAGCUUGCUAAGUGCAUGCUCUACCACUGAGCUACACACCCAGCUUGGAAAUACUUCAUUUUUUUUUUUUUUGGUACUGGGGAUCAAACUAGGGUCCUUGCGCGUGCGCAGCAGGCUGCGAAACCACGGAGCCAAGUCCCCAGACCAGAGUUUUUUUGGUUUUGUUUUGGUGGUACUGGGUUUUUUUUUUUUUUUUUUUUGGUACCGGGGAUUGAACUCUGGUCCUUGUGCUUGUGAGCCAGGCAGCGGAGCCACUGAGCUAAAUCCCCGGCCCUUGGAAAGACUUGAAAGGAUAUGAUUCUUCAGCUCUGGAGACAGCUGCCAUGCAGAGGCGGGAGCCAGUUAUAUUAGUGAGAUCCUCCUGCUUCAGCCUCCCAGCCUGCUGGGGGUGUGUGUGCUAUUGUGCUAAGCAGUUGUCUGAUUUUUUUUUUGAGACAGGGUCUCUCUAUGUAGUUCAGGUUGGCCUUGCACUCACCUUGUAGCCUGGCCUGGCCUCAAACUUGUGGCAAUUCUCCUGCCUCAGCCUCCCUAGUGCUGGGAUUACAUGUAAGUUAUCUGAUUUUUUUUUUUUUGGUACCAGGGAUCGAACUCAGGACCCUGAGCUUGCGAGGCAGGUGGCGGAACCACUGAGCCAAACCCCCGGCCCUAGUUAUCUGAUUUUUUAAAAAAGGGAAGCCAGAAAUUUAUUUAAAAUUCACUGGAAAUUCAUUAAAAAUUUCAAAAUAAACCACCUAACUGUGCAGAUGAAAAACAACAGAUUGGCAAAGAUAGUUGUUGCAGUUCUAUCUGAAAGUCAGAAGUAUCUUUAAAGAGACUGGAAUGACUGGAUUGUGUGCAACUCAUCCACAGAAGGAGAAAAGUAACCCUUCCCUGCCUUCCUUACUGGGAGUUAAGAGAAGCAAAAUGGAAUUCGCUUCACAUUGACUUAUUGUGAAUGCCUCGGCUCCUGGAGUCCAGGAUUGACAUUUAGUGGGAGGAAAGGCAGUUGUCCCUGCUGUUGGGCCUGAGACAGCCUAAGAGCAGUACCUCUGCCAGGGCCCUGGUUAAAUGGCAUAUGUAUAUGACUUGGAUACAACUAUUCAAUGGAAUGCUAUGUAUCCUUGACUCCAAGGGAAGUAAUAUUAUCUCUAACAAUGUACAUUAUCUUUAUUUAUUUUUUAUUUAUUUUUGGUACCAGGGAUGGAACUCGGGUCCUUGUGCUUUCGAGGCAGGCGGUGGAACUACUGAGCUAAAUCCCCGGCCCUACAUUAUCUUUAAAAUAUACAGAUGUGAAAAGAUCUCCAAAGUAAAUUAAAUGAAAAAAAGCACAAAAUAACAUGUCAUUCACAUGAGAGAAAAAGGGAAUACUCAUGGGAACACCUGCAGAGGCUAGUUCUGUAGUGAUGCACAAGAAACAGGAGUCAGUAACUGCCUCAAGGGCCAACGGUGAUCCAAGAGAUGCACACCUGACUGCCAGCAGCAGUUUUCCAGAUUCCUUGUGGCCCUCCCUUCCUGCUUAUACCUUUGUACUGUCUCAUGCUCAACAGCAGGGACAACUGCCUCUUCUCCCACUAAAUGUCAAUCCUGGACUCCAGGAGCCGAGGGAUUCACAAUAAGUCAAUGUGGAGCAAAUUCCCUUUUGCUUCUCUUAACACCCAGUAAGGAAGGCAGGGAAGGCUUAGUGUUCUUCCUUUUGUAGAUGAGGCAACUGAAGCAUAUGUUGUGGUACAAAUCAACCCAGUCAUUCCAGUAUUUCUCAGCAAUGCCUCCAAGGCCCUGGUCCCAUAGAACCAAAGGGAAGACACCAAGCUGGAGAUGGAGGAAGAAGUAACAGGAGAGCCAUGGCCUUUGAGCAAAGUCUCAUCCACUGGUGGCUGGGGUUCUGUGACUACAACUGUGGCUGAAUGUAAUUUAAAGCCUGAUGUGCGCUGUCGGUUUCUGUGCACAUGAACAUGUAUGUACUCCACCAGCUCUCAAGGCACUGAGUCCCCACUGGUCUCCCUUCUCUGAUAACAACUGUGUCCUCCUGUUUAAGCCUGGACAAAGAGCAAAUGAACCAAAGGAUUCUCUACCUGGCCCCAGAUCCUCUCAGCCUCAGGCCUGGAUCCCAGCCUUAGUGCACGACUAAGGAAGGACAGCAGGUAGAUACUGAGGGAGCACUGUACCUGCACCCCAGUGCAUGUGUCCACGCUCAUGUGGGCACAUCUCAGCCUUGGGCAGGACCCAGGGCCCAGCUGGCACAGGGAGCCAGGGGCAGCCUUAGAUGGCGAUGGCAGAUCUGGCAACUGGCUGAUCAAACAGGCCUCCCUUAGGCUCCCAAGUGUCUCCUUCAAGGGAUCUAUCACACCAAUAGAUACAAAGUACUGCUAGGCACUUUGCAAGUGUUAAUUUCCGACUGCUGCUGUAACAAAUUACCAAAAUUUUAGUGGCUUAAAACAACAUUUGUUAUACACUCUUGGGUUCAGAAAUUUAAAAUGGGACAGGGGAGCUUUAUUUCUUUUGUUUGUUUGUUUUUUGAGACAGGUUCUAUGUAGUUCAGGCUAGCUUUGAACUCACUAUGUAGCCCAGGCUGGCCUCGAAUCCACCGUGACCCUCCUGUGUCAGCCUCCAUAGGGCCAAGAUUACAGGCGUGCACCGCCACACCCACCACUUUAUUCUUUCUUACUUUAUUCUUUCUGGAGGCUCUGGGGGAGAAUUUGUGUCCUUCCAUUUCCUAGCUUCUAGAAGCUACCCAUUCCUUGGCUCAGGGCCACAUCACUGCCAUCUAGGCCUCUGUUCUCACAUUUCCGGUGACUCUAACACCUUUACCUCUCUCUAGAGGAUCUUUGUGAUGAUCUUAGACCCAUCCACAUAACCCAGGAUCAUCUUCGAAAGAUCCUUAAUUAUAUCUACAAAAUCCGCUUUGUCAGAAAAGAAAUUUACUUACAGGCUUUGGGGAUUAAGAUUUUGGAUGACAGUGACUGACUAUUAUUCUGCCUACUAUAGCAAGCAUUAGCCCACCUAGCCCGAAUAACAACUCUAAAAUAGACAUUGUCAUCAUUUUGCAAACUGAGAUGCUCAAGGUUAUACACUUAGUACACAGCAAAACUACAGGCACACCUCCCGAGUCUCCUGAUGAUCACCACACAACUGGGGCCCUGAGGUGCUCUGUGCUGGCAAGUGCCCACUCUGGCUUCACUCACACACACACACACACGCACAGGGGCAUUUCAUGUGUGUGUUCUCCUAAAACAUGCAGACACUACUGAUACGUGAACACACACACAAUACCUGAGCACACGCAUCCACAAACACUCCUAUGCUUAUAUACUGUCACACUGCACACGGGAACACAUGCCCUGCACACACACAUUUGUGCAUACUAUGUCAUGUGCAGUCUGUGCUUAAACAAAUACUGUACACACAUAGCAAAUGUACUUUGAUACUAUUUGCACACACAAAUAUCCUGUGCUAACAACUACAUGAUGCCCUCUGAUACUACUCUUUGCACACCAUGCAAAUAUAUAUUCUCUUUUAAACACACCUUGAACAAAAUAUGACACGCCUGCUAUGACACAUAUAUCCUACACACACAAUUCAUUAAUACCUAUGCAGUCGACACAUAGCUACCUACUCGUGCAUCCUGUGCGCACACACACACUACAUAUUCACUCUUCACACGUGGACACCCUCUUUUGUCUCAAAACACUGCGCGCUGCCGUCUUUCAGGCAUAUUCAGAUGGCGUGCAUAUGUUCUCAAGUACUGCGCGCACAUCCUGCUCACACGUGUGGCAGUUUGAAUACACACACAGAAUCUUCUAAUACAUUUUAUUUUUUGGUACCGGGGAUCGAAGUCAGGACCUUGAGUUUGCGAGGCAGGUGCCGGAACCACUGAGCUAAAUCCCCGGCCCUCUUAAUACAUUUUAUACACAGCUCCUGCCGUUACAGAAAUGUACUAUUCAGCAGGCCCAAAUCUACGCUGAGUUCUCUGCUUUGAUUGCUACUUCACAAGCAAGUAUGCUGCCCACCAGAGGCUGGGGCGCGGGUUGGAGCCGUUCUCCCGGGAGGAGCCGGCGGCAGGGAGGCCCGCCCUCUGCCGCCGAGGUGUGGUCAGCCCCAGGCCCGACCUCAGCCGCGGCAGAAAGUAGUUCCAAUACCAUGUUUGUUAACCAGGUUAUCUGGGCUGUGGAAGAUUUUAAUGUUGAAUUUUAUAGCUUUACCACGCUCUGCCGUCCUUGUGAAUAUUGUAAUAUUGCAUUUUUUACAAGUUACUCUUCUGUUAAUGUUCCAGCUAGUAACUUUUAUAAUCCUCCUCAAUGAAAUUUUUUUGUAUUCUUCCGCACCGUUAACCCCAAUGGCGGCGCCUCGGCCCCUGGCAGGAGGCAGAUAUGAGAUGAAUUCCUCUUUAAUCAGAAAUAAUAAUAAUAAAAACACGCUCGGCUCCUUGCCUCUCGCCCCGGCUUCCCUCGC